UACGUAGGGGGCAAGCGUUAUCCGGAUUUACUGGGUGUAAAGGGAGCGUAGGUGGCAUGGUAAGCCAGAAGUGAAAACCCAGGGCUCAACUCUGCGGAUUGCUUUUGGAACUAUCAAGCUAGAGUGCUGGAGGGGUAAGCGGAAUUCCUAGUGUAGCGGUGAAAUGCGUAGAUAUUAGGAGGAACACCAGUGGCGAAGGCGGUCUGCUGGACAGCAACUGACGCUGAGGCACGAAAGCGUGGGUAUCGAACAGG
rnacentral:rRNA from 1 species